GUCCUCGUAGCUCAGCCGGAUAGAGCAACGGAUUCCUAAUCCGUAGGCCGUGCGUUCGAAUCGCAUCGAGGACACCA
rnacentral:tRNA from 1 species